UUUUUUUUUUUUUUUUUUCUUUUUUUAGGUCCGCAUCCGGGGCAUAUGAAAGUUCCCAGGCUGGCAGCAUCAGCUCCACUUCAACCCCUAGCCUGGGAACCUCCAUAUUCCAUAGGUGCGGCCAUCAAAGAAAGAAAGAAAAACCGAAAAGAUUUAAAAAAAGAAAAGCCACAGGCAAUUGCUCUUCUGGCAGCUGGGGCAGGACCCCCUUCGUAGUGUCCUGGGCCACAACUAAACUGUGACUCUGCUCUCCUGUAUUCAGCAGGGGGUUACACAGAAAAACUCCUCUCCCUGAUUCCUCCCCUCCCACCCUGCUUGGGGAUUUUUCUUUUUUUUUUUUCUUUUUUUCUUUUUUUUUUUGCAUCAGACAGCAGUCAGCUGCAGCUGCAGGCACAUCUCUGGCUGCCUGGCAUACUGUUGUUCAACACACUGGGGGAGUUCCUGUCGUGGCGCAGUGGUUAACGAAUCCGACUAGGAACCAUGAGGUUGCGGGUUCGGUCCCUGCCUUUGCUCAGUGGGUUAAGGACCUGGCAUUGCCGUAAGCUGUGGUGUAGGUUGCAGACGCGGCUCGCAUCCCGCGUUGCUGUGGCUCUGGCGUAGGCCUGUGGCUACAGCUCCAAUUCGACCCCUAGCCUGGGAACCUCCAUAUGCCGCGGGAGCGGCCCAAAGAAAUAGCAAAAAGACAAAAAAAAAAAAAACCAAAAAACAAAAACCACUGGGGAAAGCUGUGUCUGGAGUCUGAGUCUGGGAGCAAAUAAAUAGAAAAAACAAAAAAACAAAAACCGGGUACCUGCAGUGGGGUGACGAGGUCAAGAAAAAAACCGGGAGCCAGGCAAGGAAGUUCUGUCGUUGACUCAGCUCAGCAUUUGGGGAAAUCCUACCCUUCUAAUCGCCACCAUUCCCAGACUCCAAGACCCCCCAGCCCCAAUCCCACCAGGCUUAUCAGUGAGCAUCAGAGGCUGUGGUUGAUGCUGGCAAUUUCUACUCCCAGGGUUUAAGAGUUGGAAAGAGCUGUUUGAGUCUAGUUUUUUUUGCUGGUUUGUUUAGGUGGUCUGCAUCCCUGCAUCCGCGCUCUCUUGCUUCUUGCAUUCUGGGUUCUGUACUGGGCAUUGGAAACGCAUUUGAACUGAAAUCAAUGGUGCAAAAGACCUUUGGGAAUCCCGGUGGCGGUUUAGAGCCACCUGAGGUUUCAUCUUCCAAAACCGAGUCUCAGACCCCUUGGAGAAUGUAAAGGCGGAAAGGGGCUCUGAGGCUGCCUAGUUUACCCUUCAGCUGUGUGGGUUUGGAGACACCCUUUAACCUUGAUGACUCUGAUGUGCAGGAUGGGGAAAUACUGACACCGGCUUCAUAAAACUGGAGAUUAAAAGCGUCAACACAGAUAAGGAACUUUAACAGGGCCAGGCAUCUGGAAAGUUCCCAAUACAUUUUUAGCCUCCAACCCCCCCAAAUCAAUCAUGUCUACUUAAAAUGUGAAGCAGUAAUAGUUCACCUUUCAUCUCCUCUUGAUCAAGCCUCUUCCUGUCUUAGGAAAAGAUUGUACGUCACCAGCCUAAACAUAACCUUUGUAAUUGAGCAGAGUUAGAUUUUGUCCAGAUUUAAUCGAUUCCAUAGGUAAAGAUUCCAUAGGUAAAGAUCGAUUCCAUAGGUAAAGAUCAAACUGAGACGUCUUGGGUUUUCCCCAUCAUUAGGACUUUGAAUAUUCCAUUUGCUGAGUGACUAUUAGAUGCCAGACUCUGCAGUAAGUGCUUUACAUGAUUAGGUGUCAUCUUCCCAACAGGUAGGAGGUAGGUACUGUUAUUCGUUUCACGUAACCUAACAUCAGAGAGGUCAGCGGACAUUUCAAGUUUGCAAGACCCUAAGCUAUAUGAUUCAGAACAUGGCUUGCAGAUUCCAGAGAUAACCUCUUAGUUGCAAUGCUCCAUUGCCUCUGUUUGUUCAGUAACUUAGAAAAGAAUGGUGAGUGAUACCUUGUAUCUCCCUGUUUUUUAUGGGGUGACAGUGAGGGAGAGAAGGAGCUGUUGGCACAGGCAGGAGGGGUGAUUCAGUGCCAGAGGAGCAUGGAGAAUCGGAGAUGCAUUUGAGCAGCAAGUCUGAGACCCCAGAGUCUGUUUGCUUCCGUAUUUUUAUCCCUAAGCUCUGUUGGUUUCCCUGGAGGGUGGAUUGUUUGAGGUUUCACUCAGCUCGGGGCUCAGGAGUCAGUCUCUAAUAGUAAAUGUUCAGCUUGUGGCUGAAAAUGGUCUUUCAGAUGCUCGUGGGCUUCAUGAGUCACUGAUGAUGGAGGUUUUCAGCCACUUGAUGGGAAGAUUUCCUGGGAUGUGUUUUCCGAUAUUUUUAGGGCUAGAGUAUAUUCUCAGAAUGAGAGAAGCCCCCAAAUGUUGUGUCUUGUUAGCCUCAUGCUUGUAUUAACUGUGCCUUGCCAUGGGUAUAAGGAGUCAAUGAAAAUCACUUUGUCCAGGAAGGAUCAUUCCCUUACAUCCUGUGGACUUUUAUUCCUAUUGCCUCUUGUUGGCUGCUUCCAUAAUUAAGUAGUUUUACAGACUUUCAGUCGGCUAAUCCCUUCUAUCCCAAAUGGAUCUGGUGUGUCGUAAGACGUCCAGGAUUUGACAGCCUACUAUGUGAGCCUUAUGGCACCUUCUAAGCCAACAAAAACCUUUGAGGACAUUUAAAAAUACACUUGAAGCAAUUUAAUACUAUUUAUAUCGAUUUCAAAGCUUCAUCUGGUGCUCAAAAUUAACACUGGGAUAUUAGAUCAUUAAAUUAAUGGGAUGUGAUCUAUGGCCUCCAAGAUUUCAAAACCACCAUCCUUUUAAUUGUUAAUUAGGGAAGGUAGUGAUCGUGGAGCAUGGGGAACAGUUUUGCUUAUUUUCAAUGUGUUGUGUGUGAUUAUGUGAAUUAUUAACUCUGAGUGGCAUUCAAUUUCGUUCAUUUCUGGGGCUUUAUGAACUAUUUCCAGCCUGCAUCUGUUCCUGUUUUCAAUUCAAAAAUAUGACGUAUAGAGUUCAGCUUGUACCUUGUGAU
rnacentral:lncRNA from 1 species